rnacentral:rRNA from 1 species
UACGUGAGGGGCGAACGUUGUUCGGUGUCACUGGGCUUAAAGGGUGCGUAGGUGGUUGCGUAAGUAAGGUGUGAAAUCCCUCGGCUUACCCGGGGAAUUGCAUUUUAUACUGCGUGGCUUUGAGGACUAAAGGGGAAAAGGGAACUCCAGGUGUAGCGGUGAAAUGCGCAGAUAUCUGGGGGAAGGCCGGCGGCGAAGGCGCUUUUCUGGUUAGUACCUGGACACUGAGGCACGAAAGCGUGGGGAGCAAACAGGG